rnacentral:tmRNA from 1 species
GGGGUAGUACUGGUUUCGACGGGGAUUUAGAAAUCAUGGCAGCCAUCCGAGGUGAGUGACCUCGUUAAAACAUUCAAAAAAAUAAACGCUGAUAAUAAAUUAGCACUCGCUGCCUAAUGGCAGCUGUCAGCCCUGUGUCGUCCGUUGCAUAGGGGUCUGGCGUCGAACCGACGGAGCACUUCCGGGACAAAGCUUGUAGUCCAGGGAAGAAUCACAAGCUACUGAAAGCCUGAGCCUGUGAGUGGGCGCUGGUCGUAGGGAAUGUUAAAACACUUACUGUGAUGGGAGAUACUGUGAUGGAAGGGUUUUCGGACGCGAGUUCAAUU